rnacentral:rRNA from 1 species
UGGGGAAUAUUGCACAAUGGGGGAAACCCUGAUGCAGCGACGCCGCGUGAGCGAAGAAGGUUUUCGAAUCGUAAAGCUCUGUCCUAUGAGAAGAUAAUGACGGUAUCAUAGGAGGAAGCCCCGGCUAAAUACGUGCCAGCAGCCGCGGUAAUACGUAUGGGGCGAGCGUUGUCCGGAAUUAUUGGGCGUAAAGCGAGCGCAGGCGGUUAGAAAAGUCUGAAGUGAAAGGCAGUGGCUCAACCAUUGUAGGCUUUGGAAACUGUUUAACUUGAGUGCAGAAGGGGAGAGUGGAAUUCCAUGUGUAGCGGUGAAAUGCGUAGAUAUAAGGAGGAACACCGGUGGCGAAAGCGGCUCUCUGGUCUGUAACUGACGCUGAGGCUCGAAAGCGUGGGGAGCGAACAGG